ACACACACACACACACACACACCCCUCAAGAAGGGAAGGACGGGAAUUCGCAUUCACCCUCUCCCUCAGUACCCUACCCGCCUCUUCUCUAAUCUUUUCUUGUUUUGGUGGCAGAGGAUAGGAGUGCAGAGAGCGUCCCUCCAGCGAACCGCCACGAAGUUCACCCACUAAGUUCAGGCUUGGGGAUGGGACAGGAGCAUCUUGCCAAGGAGCAGCUGGUCUUAGCAUACAGGGAAGAAGGCCAGAUUUCUCUCUUUAGGCCUUCGGAUCCCCCACCCAUCCAUCUCUCUUUAGGUCGCCCAGAGAGAGGUUUCCUCGCUCCCCAAACACCCCUAGAGCAGUGUUGCUGCGAACCAGGACUUAUAAACCAAAGUCUUGAGACCCCGGGACUUGCUUUCCUUCGCUAGAUUAUCUUCUCUGUCUCUAGGUGAAGAAAGGGGCCUCCUGUCCAAGACACAGAAUUACUCCCAUCUAGAACCAACUGUCUCCAGACUUCUUUCCAGCUUCCCACCAGGCCCCCAGAUGGUUUUGCAGUCCUAAAUUCCCGGUCCACACCCCACUACUCAGUCCUCGAAGGUCCUUUGACUGCCGGUGGAACUGGAGCUCCUUGGAGGACAGCCUGGGUCCUGACUAUCCUGCCCGAAUCCCUAGGACCCAUUCUCAAGAAAGAUGCUCAGCUACCACUGCAGGUUGAUGCCCAGACAGCACUAGAAUGGUGGCAGCACCUCUCUCUCUCUCUGCCCCAGGGGUGGUUCUGAGAGUCCCAACUCCCAUGGUUGGGCGCUGAGCCCAGGGAUAUUUUUUUUUCAAUGCUAGAAAAAAAAAAAAUCUUUAAUGGUAAAAUGUCAUUAUCAUUUGGAUAAUUGCCAAGGAAGCUCAGAAAUUCUCCCUGUCAUUGUCUGGCAUGGGUUCACCUGUCCACCUUUGAGUCAGUGACAGCUCUCCUCCCUGGGUAGGGCUGCAGGUUGAUAAGUGUAACCCUGAGGCAUCUUGACUAGACUUGGCCAUGACUAAGAGGCUCAGGGAAGAGCAGAGACGGAGGGAGGAGAAGGCGUUGAGGAUGUCAAUACAGGGCACAGCUGUGGCCGAUGAGUGGGCACACAGCUUCUCUGUGCCCCUUCAGAAGUCAGUCCUUAGACCUCCUUGCACCUUGGGUCUUUCUUUAAUAAAAGCAGAUGCAUCUUAUUAGCUAAUAAAACACAGCGUGGUUUUUAUAA